GCGUCCAUAGCUCAGCUGGAUAGAGCAACGGCCUUCUAAGCCGUAGGUCGCACGUUCGAGUCGUGCUGGACGCG
rnacentral:tRNA from 2 species